rnacentral:rRNA from 1 species
GAUGAACGCUGGCGGCGUGCCUAAUACAUGCAAGUCGAGCGAACGGACGAGAAGCUUGCUUCUCUGAUGUUAGCGGCGGACGGGUGAGUAACACGUGGAUAACCUACCUAUAAGACUGGGAUAACUUCGGGAAACCGGAGCUAAUACCGGAUGAUAUUUUGAACCGCAUGGUUCAAAAGUGAAAGACGGUGUUGCUGUCACUUAUAGAUGGAUCCGCGCUGCAUUAGCUAGUUGGUAAGGUAACGGCUUACCAAGGCAACGAUGCAUAGCCGACCUGAGAGGGUGAUCGGCCACACUGGAACUGAGACACGGUCCAGACUCCUACGGGAGGCAGCAGUAGGGAAUCUUCCGCAAUGGGCGAAAGCCUGACGGAGCAGCGCCGCGUGAGUGAUGAAGGUCUUCGGAUCGUAAAACUCUGUUAUUAGGGAAGAACAUAUGUGUAAGUAACUGUGCACAUCUUGACGGUACCUAAUCAGAAAGCCACGGCUAACUACGUG